AUCUACAGCCAUGCUACCCUGAAGAAGCAUGAUCCCAUCUGAUCUCAGAAGCUAAGCAGAGUCAGGCCUAGUUAGUACUUGGUUGGGAGACCACCUAGGAUGAAACAGGUGCUAUAGGCA
rnacentral:rRNA from 1 species